rnacentral:misc_RNA from 1 species
AACGCACAUUGCACUCUUUCGAGAGUAUGCCUGUUUGAGAAUCUAAUCAACAUCUAUGAAAAUAGGAUUUGAAGCAACAAGACAACCGCUGUGCUUUUAAAUAAUAGAGAUUGAAAGAUUUGGUCUACUAGUAUUUGAAUAUUCUUUACUUGAUCAAACCUUUAAAACAAUAUCUAAAAUUAUAAAGGUCUCAAAUCAGGCAGGAAGACCCGCUGAACUUAA